rnacentral:lncRNA from 12 species
AAGCCUGGAUAGACACCUGCAUGUGCUGUAGAUGGCUGUGAAUGCAGGAGCCCAAAGACCCUAAAACAAUACUUCUGGUGAGCUGGCAGGAGAAACAAUGAUGAAUUCAGCCCCCAGGUGACAUGGUCUACCUGCUCUACGUUCCCCA